rnacentral:misc_RNA from 1 species
UACGAAUGGAGCGAGCGUUGUUCGGAAUCACUGGGCGUAAAGCGUGCGUAGGCGGAGUUGAAAGUCAGAAGUGAAAGCCCGGGGCUUAACCCCGGAAUUGCUUUUGAAACUUCAACUCUAGAGUUCUGGAGGGGCAAGGGGAAUUCCGAGUGUAGAGGUGAAAUUCGCAGAUAUUCGGAGGAACACCAGUGGCGUAGGCGCCUUGCUGGACAGAUACUGACGCUGAGGCACGAAAGCGUGGGGAGCAAACAGG